GACGAACGCUGGCGGCGUGCUUAACACAUGCAAGUCGAACGGAAAGGCCCUGCUUUUGUGGGGUGCUCGAGUGGCGAACGGGUGAGUAACACGUGAGUAACCUGCCCUUGACUUUGGGAUAACUUCAGGAAACUGGGGCUAAUACCGGAUAGGAGCUCCUGCUGCAUGGUGGGGGUUGGAAAGUUUCGGCGGUUGGGGAUGGACUCGCGGCUUAUCAGCUUGUUGGUGGGGUAGUGGCUUACCAAGGCUUUGACGGGUAGCCGGCCUGAGAGGGUGACCGGCCACAUUGGGACUGAGAUACGGCCCAGACUCCUACGGGAGGCAGCAGUGGGGAAUAUUGCACAAUGGGCGGAAGCCUGAGGCAGCAACGCCGCGUGCGGGAUGACGGCCUUCGGGUUGUAAACCGCUUUCGCCUGUGACGAAGCGUGAGUGACGGUAAUGGGUAAAGAAGCACCGGCUAACUACGG
rnacentral:rRNA from 1 species